rnacentral:lncRNA from 1 species
GCUGGGAGGAAUUCUGGAUGAAACAAAUACAAAAGAAAAAAUAAAAAAAGUAGAACCACUAUAGAAUUUGCUAAAGGAAAGACAAACCCCUUAUUCCUAGAAGUGCCUUUAAGGAAAAAAAAAAAAACCAAACCAAAAAAACCCUGAAUCCCCCCAAAACACCCCUCCCCUCCAAGAAAAACCAACCAAACCUCAGAACCCAACAAAAACAAAAGGGAAAAAUCCAUCUCAAAGACCCAGAUGGUCUUAAAAGUCCAUCUCUUAUUGUAAAUUUUCUUGCUCAGACAUACCCCAAGAUUGAAAAAGCUCUUCUGCAUUUAAUUGUUCAAGAAUUUCUACUUUCUGAUUAUCAUCUUAUAAGACCAUGACCCACUAUUUAACGUUGACAUCUUGAUUCUCAAGAGAAUAUGUAAUCUUUAGAACAAUGUGUAUUAAAGACAAGAGUAGGAUUUCUAGGCAACUGUGGACAUCCAAAGCUUAAUUUUACUGGUACAUUGCCCAUACUCGGCACUUGUGUCCUGCAGUCUCAGCACUGGCCUAUCAUAGAAUAUUGUAGACAUCUCUACCCAAACACUUUAGACAAAUCAUCUCGGGCGAUUUCAAAUUAAAAGCUUGUAAAAUAUGUAACCUCUCCUAGUUUUUGCAAUUAAUAGGGUAUGUCUGCAAUUAGCCUGACUUACAGAAUGCUACAUUGUUGUCAUUAAAAGAUGUUUUGUGAAAGUGCUGCUGUUAUUAUGGAGGCUCAAGAGACCAAUCCCUCCUAGAGGGCAAACAGUGGACUAGUAGAAAACAACAGCCAUAAAUCACGUUGUCAGGUAGCAGAGAGAACAGAAGUGAAACACAGGCACAUGAAGGCCAUUCACUGUAAACACACCACAGCAGAAUCCUAGUCAGGAUUUACUGAACCUGUAAUUAAUUAAAGUUUCCUUCAAGCUAAAUUUUUAAUAAACAAGGAUUUGUGCUGACAAUGAAGAAAUACACCACCACAAUUUUAUCAACUUGCUCUGCAACACUUAUUAACUCUCAUUUUACUGCACUGGGUACUUUUUCAGAGGUUGCCUUCAAUUUAGUUGCUGCUCUUGGAAUAAUGUUAAAUAUUUUAAAAUAUGAUAACAGAUUUAAUAUUGAUACACACUGGUUUGAAGCUGUGGCAUUUCAGAAUUUAUAGUAUUUUAUCAUGUAUUCUUU